AGGGAGCUCUAGUGGAGAGACAAGAUUCGUGCAUGAAAUAAUUACGACUGUUGUAGAAAAAAGAAAAGCCUGUAGGUCUCCCUUCCUCCCUCCUUCUCUCUGUCUACCUCAGCAUUUCUGGGGUUCACUCUGCUCUGGGUACUGUGUAAAGGACUCCACAGCCAUCAACUUCCCUUCAUCCUUGCCGUGUCUUUGAAAGGGUCUCACUCUGUUGCUCAGGCUGGAGUGCAGUGGCGUCAUCACAGCUCACUGCAGCCUCCACCUUGAUUAAGCAAACCUCCCAUCUCAGCCUUGCAAAUCACAGAGCUGAGAUUUCUUUACAUCACAGUGGUUCAAGGAGAAAAACACAGCCAGAUCCUUCCUCAUCUCAACAUAAAUUAAACCCAGAGGCAGUCAGCGCCACAGUCCACACUCGUAACCGUUACACUCACCUGGAAAUAAAAGUAUUUUUGUGCGGGGACUGCAAGGACUAAGCCCGGCCGCACUCCGAGUUUCUCCUCCUCACAGAUAGGGGCUGAGGCUCAGAGAGGGCAAGUGACCUGCCCAAAGUCACACAGCCGUGACUCAUUGCUCAGGUGAGGAAACUGAGGCUCAGAGAGGGUCCGUGGCAUGUCCAAGGUUACUCUGCUGAGGCAAGGAACUAUGUGAGCCACUCCAGUGUUCCCAGCCCCAAGGCCAGGCACAGUGGACAUUUAUUGCUGAAUGAAUGAAUCAAGAGAGAGGAUCAGAAAGCUGCAGAGGAUGAUAGAUCUGCAAAAUUCUCCCUGGGUGAGGCCCAGGCUCAGCUUCCAGAACAGCUCCAUCUGUCUCCCACUCACUGAGAUUGAACUAAUGUCCCACAGUUGGACAGACCUGAAAUUGAGCUCUGUGAUUUUGGAUACCUGCCCCUCUGCUGGAGAUUCUGCAUGUCUGAGGUACCAGCCAUUGCCAGAAACUGGGCUAUGUUCUCUCCUUUCAUUGUGCCAUUUCAUUCUCACCCCAAAAUGAAAACACACAAAAAAA
rnacentral:lncRNA from 1 species